AUGAGGCUGCUGGGUCUUCUCCUGUGCUUGCUGACAGCCCCCCAAGGUGUCCUGUCCCAGGAGCAGCUGCGGCAGUGGGGCCCAGGAUGGGUGAAGCCCUCGCAGACCCUCUCCCUCACCUGCGCAGACCAUGGAUUACCCAUCACAACCAGUGGUUACUGCUGGAAUUGGAUCCGCCAGGCCCCAGGCAAGGGGCUGGAGUGGAUGGGGUGCAUAAAUUAUGAUGGGAGCACUUACUACAGCACCAACCUCAAGAGCCGGACCUCCAUCUCCAGAGACACAUCCAAGAACCAGGUCUCCCUGCAACUGAGUUCUGUGACCACGGAGGACACAGCUGUGUAUUACUGUGCAAGAGACACAGUGAGGGGCAGUCAGUAUUUCUUUGGGUACUGGGAUACCCUCUCCCUCACCUGCGCUGUAUAUGGAUUGUCCAUCACCAGUGGUUACUGCUGGAAUUGGAUACGCCAGUCUCCUGGGAAGGGUCUAGAGUGGAUGGGGUGCAUAUCUUAUAAUGGAAACACUUACUACAGCCCCUCCAUCAAGAGCCGAACCUCUAUUUCCAGAGACACAUCUAAGAACCAGUUCUCCCUGCAGCUGAGCUCUGUGACCACCGAGGACAUGGCCCUGUAUUACUGUGCAGGACACAGUGUGGGGAACUCAGUGUGA